AACAAACCGUAGCUAACCACGUUGCCUGCGGGGAGUUUGUUACGAUCCUUGGACCGGUGUAUAAAUCCGGAACCUUGAAUCAUAUCAUCAUCCACCCGGUCCACCGAGCGAUUAUGGUGGAAGGCGCAUGCGCUAAUCUACGGCCCCCUAGCCAAACUCCUUAUUUCGUGGCCUGAAGCAUCUUGGUUUGGUGGGCCAACGCUGUCGGCUGCUUCCUCUCCUUGCCGAAUCCAUCCAGAAGUUGGGCGCAUAAAACGGCGAAGGUUCAUUGCGAUUAGCUCGAAUUGCGUAUUCCGCUGCGGUAUAAGACAGCACGGGGCCCUUGCUCCAUCCUACGGCCGACGAGUUCACAUGCCGAGGAAGUCGAGCGAGAAGCGUCGAGUUAGGGGAGAGAAAGGAGUAGCUGCCGCCAUGGAUGAAGCUAAUCAGGCUCCAGCCGUGGAGUCCUUCUACUGCGCUGAGAACCGCGUGAGGCCGCGAGUCAUCUGAAGAUCAUCCUGGCACCUGGAAUCUCAAGUCCCAGGCAAGUUGUGCCCUUUAUCACUUCCUUUUUACGCAGUCAUGUUCUUAUUAAUCAUAAUGAUCUGCAUAGGUUAAUUUUGAUGGGACCUAAUAGGUUACCCUAGAUUUUGAUUAUCUUUAUACCUGGUUUCACUACUGGUUUUACUACUAAAUUUUUGGGUAGUGCAUGUUAUUGCUUUAUGUGGUUUUACUACUCAUGAUUACACUUUUUGUUAUCUGUUCAUUAUUUACUGUUCAUGAUAAGAUCAUUGUGUCAAUGGGAACAUGGAGAACCACCCGGGAAAACAGUGCUACCACAAGGGUUUAAUGGGACGCCCUUGGCUGAUUAACUAGGAAAGCUAGUGGAUGACUAUCUUACUCGAAAGGGGCAAGGGCAGUAGGGGAGUGGUCAGUGUAGGGAGGUCCUUGGUUGAUUUUGCUGCGAUGGCGGUCAGGCGAGGGAUUCCUGCACUGGAGCUUCCUAUAAACUGUAGCGGGUUUUCUGAAGCUAGUGGAACUUUGUAAAGGCCUUGUAGUGUUACCCUGCCUCGCCUCAUCGGUAGAGGUGUAUGGGAUUGGCCGUCUCUUGGCAGAUGGGUAACAUGACUUAUGGGUAAAGAUGUGCAACCUCUGCAGAGUGUAAAACUGGUAUACUAGUCGUGCUCACGGUCAUGAGCAGCUCGAAGACUCACAUGAUUAAUUUAUGAAACUAAAUUCAAUUCGUCAUGUGCAUUGCAUUGCAGGUGUUGUUGUUACUUUUGUUCUACUACUUAAUUGGGUUGGUAUUUACUUAUACUUAGUAACUGCUAAUAAAAUUUUGACCAACUUUAAAAGCAAUGCUCAGCUCUAACCAUCCUCUUUGGUAAGCCUUACACUUCACAUGAGCUCGCACCUUUGGUGAGUUCAUGCACAUUAUUCCCCACAACUUGUUGAGCUAUGAACAUAUGUGAGCUCACUCUUGCUGUCUCACACCCCCCCACAGGUCAAGAACAGGUACCACAGGAUGAGGCGCGUGGAGGAUACUGUGACGAGUUCGUGAGAGGUCUAGGACGUCGUCUCCCUAUCAACUUUGAGUUCCUGGACCGUUGUCUUCUUAUAAUGUAUUUAUUUAUUUAUUUUGUAUAUAACUACUGUUAUUUAGUAAAGAUGUGACAUUCGAUCC